GAUGAACGCUAGCUACAGGCUUAACACAUGCAAGUCGAGGGGCAGCGGUAUCGAAAGCUUGCUUUCGGUAGCCGGCGACCGGCGCACGGGUGAGUAACGCGUAUCGAACCUGCCUCAUACUCGGGAAUAGCCUUGCGAAAGUAAGAUUAAUGCCCGGUGUUUUCAGAGUCCCGCAUGAGGCUUUGAACAAAGAUUUAUCGGUAUGAGAUGGCGAUGCGUCCCAUUAGCUUGUUGGCGGGGUAACGGCCCACCAAGGCAUCGAUGGGUAGGGGUUCUGAGAGGAAGGUCCCCCACAUUGGAACUGAGACACGGUCCAAACUCCUACGGGAGGCAGCAGUGAGGAAUAGUGAUCAAUGGGCGGAAGCCUGAACCAGCCAAGUAGCGUGCAGGAAGACGGCCCUCCGGGUUGUAAACUGCUUUUAGUUGGGAAUAAAACGGGGCUCGUGAGCCCCCUUGCAUGUACCAUCAGAAAAAGGACCGGCUAAUUCCGUG
rnacentral:rRNA from 1 species